rnacentral:tRNA from 1 species
ACCUUCGUGGUGUAGUGGUCAGUACGCUCUACACGUAUUCGAGAGGUCCGUGGUUCGAGUCCCGGCGAGGGCA